GCCAUGCUCUUUUUGCAUCAGUUCGCAGUUUGGUGCUAUCUUCUUGCACAUGGCGGGUUUUUGAAGCCUUGCCAAGCCUGAGAUCUCUGACCACCGCCAAGCCAAGCAUCCGUAACAUCUGCGGCUCUCAUGUCAGUUGUUGCCCUCUCAACUUUCAGUCCACAGUCUCCAUCCAACAUCACACCCAAUUAGCACAUGCAAUCCAGUCUCUUUGUAGUUGGAAACAGAUGGCUGCUGUUCUAGGUGUCCUAGCCGUAGACCUAUUUUACUUAUCUUUCCUAGUGUGUAGUGCUGUGGGUUGAGAUGUCCCCUGUCUUGCAGGGUGCUGGUCCUGAAUUGAGUUUAUUAUCACAAUGAUGGAUGUGCAGUGCAUUUACAAGACUUUUCUUGUCGUUGAAGUUGAUAGCUUUCUGUCCCUUCGUUGCUCGGAUUCUCUUGCCUUCAUAUAAGCUGACCCCUUUGUUAAUCAUAACUUAGAACUCCACCUCUCUUUAGUUGUACUCUCAGACCAGGAUACUGUCUGAAGCAAUUCAUAAGUUAGGCCGGUUCAUUACCGUUUCGGUUGAUUUCUGCCUUUGAACUACCAGAGAGAUCUUGUCACUGCCGUAUGUUCGGCAAGCUUCAUAGAUCUGUUUAGCACCAAGAUAGAUAGCUAGAUUGAACUGGAUGGGGUCUGUUUGAUAUUCCUCCCCAGUCCCCACUCCCUACCUGCAAACUAGCCGAUGAUGGAUCUCCACAUGAAGCUUCUCGUGGCCUCCCUCAGCUGUGUACUUCUGAUACAAGGAGCAUUCUGUG